rnacentral:rRNA from 1 species
CCUACGGGAGGCAGCAGUGGGGAAUAUUGGGCAAUGGGCGCAAGCCUGACCCAGCAACGCCGCGUGAAGGAAGAAGGCUGUCGGGUUGUAAACUUCUUUUAAGGGGGAAGAGCAGAAGACGGUACCCCUUGAAUAAGCUACGGCUAACUACGUGCCAGCAGCCGCGGUAAUACGUAGGUGGCAAGCGUUGUCCGGAUUUACUGGGUGUAAAGGGCGUGCAGCCGGAGAGACAAGUCAGAUGUGAAAUCCACGGGCUCAACCCGUGAACUGCAUUUGAAACUGUUUCCCUUGAGUGUCGGAGAGGUAGUCGGAAUUCCUUGUGUAGCGGUGAAAUGCGUAGAUAUAAGGAAGAACACCAGUGGCGAAGGCGGAUUACUGGACGAUAACUGACGGUGAGGCGCGAAAGCGUGGGGAGCAAACAGGAUUAGAUACCCUAGUAGUC